rnacentral:rRNA from 1 species
UACGGAGGGUGCGAGCGUUGUCCGGAAUCACUGGGCGUAAAGCGCGCGUAGGCGGUUCGUUAAGUGGGAUGUGAAAUCCCCGGGCUCAACCUGGGAAUGGCAAUGGAUACUGGCAGGCUAGAGUGUGUCAGAGGAUGGUGGAAUUCCCGGUGUAGCGGUGAAAUUCGUAGAUAUCGGGAGGAACACCAGUGGCGAAGCGGAGACCUGGGCCGAUACUGACGCUGAGGUGCG